UGUCCUUCAGUGUAGGGAAGAUGAAAGAAGGUAGAGAAAGAGUUACAGAUGAGUAUAUCAGGUCAGUGAUAGAUUGGCUGGAGGUGCAUAGAGGGAUUCCUGCGACACGUAAUGGGAAUUUCUAUGUGUCAGCUUGGUGGAAACUUCCAUUUAACGAGCUUGAUUUUGGGUUUGGAAAGGCUUCUCAUGGAGGACCAGUGUUGGGUGGGAAUGAUGAAUUUGUGCUGUUGCUUUCUGAUGGAAAGAGCAUGGAAAAUGGAGGAGGAGGGAUUAACGUUUGGAUGGG
rnacentral:misc_RNA from 1 species